UAGAGUUUGAUCCUGGCUCAGAUUGAACGCUGGCGGCAGGCCUAACACAUGCAAGUCGAGCGGAAACGACACUAACAAUCCUUCGGGUGCGUUAAUGGGCGUCGAGCGGCGGACGGGUGAGUAAUGCCUAGGAAAUUGCCUUGAUGUGGGGGAUAACCAUUGGAAACGGUGGCUAAUACCGCAUAAUGCCUACGGGCCAAAGAGGGGGACCUUCGGGUCUCUCGCGUCAAGAUAUGCCUAGGUGGGAUUAGCUAGUUGGUGAGGUAAUGGCUCACCAAGGCGACGAUCCCUAGCUGGUCUGAGAGGAUGAUCAGCCACACUGGAACUGAGACACGGUCCAGACUCCUACGGGAGGCAGCAGUGGGGAAUAUUGCACAAUGGGCGAAAGCCUGAUGCAGCCAUGCCGCGUGUAUGAAGAAGGCCUUCGGGUUGUAAAGUACUUUCAGUUGUGAGGAAGGGGGUAACGUUAAUAGCGUUAUCUCUUGACGUUAGCAACAGAAGAAGCACCGGCUAACUCCGUGCCAGCAGCCGCGGUAAUACGGAGGGUGCGAGCGUUAAUCGGAAUUACUGGGCGUAAAGCGCAUGCAGGUGGUUCAUUAAGUCAGAUGUGAAAGCCCGGGGCUCAACCUCGGAACUGCAUUUGAAACUGGUGAACUAGAGUGCUGUAGAGGGGGGUAGAAUUUCA
rnacentral:rRNA from 1 species